rnacentral:tRNA from 1 species
GAGGGUAGAGCUCAGAGGUAGAGUGCGUGCCUACCAAGCACGAGGUCCUGGGUUCAAUCCCCAGGACCUUCA